rnacentral:rRNA from 1 species
UUUUUGGAGAGUUUGAUCCUGGCUCAGGACGAACGCUGGCGGCGUGCCUAAUACAUGCAAGUCGAGCGCACGGAUGGGAGCUUGCUCCCUGAU